UUGACCUCGAAUCAGGUAGGAAUACCCGCUGAACUUAAGCAUAUCAAUAAGCGGAGGAAAAGAAACCAACAGGGAUUGCCYCAGUAACGGCGAGUGAAGCGGCAACAGCUCAAAUUUGAAAUCUGGCUCUCGGGCCCGAGUUGUAAUUUGUAGAGGAUGCUUUUGGUGAGGUGCCUUCCGAGUUCCCUGGAACGGGACGCCAUAGAGGGUGAGAGCCCCGUCUGGUUGGACRCCGAWCCUCUGUAAAGCUCCUUCGACGAGUCGAGUAGUUUGGGAAUGCUGCUCUAAAUGGGAGGUAUAUGUCUUCUAAAGCUAAAUACCGGCCAGAGACCGAUAGCGCACAAGUAGAGUGAUCGAAAGAUGAAAAGAACUUUGAAAAGAGAGUUAAACAGUACGUGAAAUUGUUGAAAGGGAAGCGCUUGUGACCAGACUUGGGCUUGGUUGAUCAUCCGGGGUUCUCCCCGGUGCACUCUUCCGGCCCAGGCCAGCAUCAGUUCGCCCUGGGGGACAAAGGCUUCGGGAAYGUGGCUCUCUCCGGGGAGUGUUAUAGCCCGUUGCGUAAUACCCUGUGGCGGACUGAGGU
rnacentral:rRNA from 1 species